rnacentral:lncRNA from 1 species
UCAUUGUACAGAUGGAAAUAUGGAGGCCUAUAGAGGAAGAAGGAUUUACUCAAGGUCCCAAAGAAGUAAAGGCAGAGAAAAGAGUCUAGAUCAGGUCUCCUGACUUCUGGUGCAAUGUUCUUUUCCAUACAUGCAUCUCUGCUAUGGUACUUGUUCCUUGUACAUGCUUAUGUAUCAAUCUGGCUCCUGGACUAAGCUAUGAAUUCCUUGAGGACAGGGACCAUCUCUUAUACCUGUACUGUUCAAUGUGGUAGCUACUAACUACAUAUAGCGAUUUAAUGUUGGAAGCAUGGCUAGUCCAAAUUGUGAUGUACCCUAAGCGUAAAAUACACACCACAUUUCAAAGAACAUAAAAUAUUUCAUUAAUAAAAUUUUACAUUGCUUACAGGUUAAGAUAACAUUUUAGAUUCAUUGUGUUAAAUAAAAUAUAUUAAAAAAAUUCUUUGACCUAUUUAUAUUUAAAAUUUUUAAUAUGGCUAUUAGAAAAUUUGUGGCCCACAUUAUAUUUCUAUUAGAUGUAUAUUAUUGCUCUGCUGUAUAUUUAUUUUUUCCCUUGGUGCCAAGCAUAGAGCUUUGCAACCAGUAAAUGACCAAUACACCCUUGUUGAAUAAAGUUGAGCUGUAGUUGAUAGGUUAAUUGCUGUCACCUAUCUUGUCAGUAUCACUAGGUUUGUGGGGAAUCUCACAGUGAACCCUCUGUCCUCAGGCCCAGAUGUACAUGAAGUUCUUCAAUCCUGGCCUAGUGGUGCCCUAUGCAUUGCAUCAGACUUUGCGUUUCCUUUCAAAGGAAGCUCCAGUGCAAUCAUAUGCACUGCAAUCACCAGGGUUGAGGUGGAGUGUGUGGACACCAGCCUCUUGCACAGGAAGUGGCCUCAGCUUUGCAAUUUUCUUUGGGGCCUUUUCUUGACAGGCUUCCAAUAGGAGGUGGGAAUAGGGGAGAAGGGAGAUGAACUUGAAGUUGAAGCGGGGCCUUCUCAGUUCUUUCAUGGAGACACCAAGGGCCCUUCAAAACACACGACCUUCUUGCUCACGGCAUAAAGCCCAGCUCCCUCUGGCCUCUGCAGUUUGGCUCAUCACCAGGGAACCCGUGCCUCCUCUGAGACCAAGGCAUCACUCCAGUAACAGGUACAGUAUCAAUUUACUCUCUGUGCUUGGAUUCCCAAGCUGUAGCAGUGUCUACAGCUACCACAGGUGGCUUGGACACCCCCUUCCCAUUCUCCUUGAAUUUUCCUCAGGGAUCCUGGGUCAAGGGUGGGAGAGAAGAAAGUUCCCAUUGGUCUUCUGUCCUGGAGCUUUUAAUGGUGAGAAAGGAGGAUGA